UUUGGAUGUUCUGCUAAUUUUUUUGGAAAAUGAUUUGGAUCAUGUUUGGAGCCAAAAUCAUUUCUGUAAAAAAUGGACUAAAACCUUAAACCUAUUUCUAUCCGAGCCCAGCAGCAGCAUCAGCGCUAGGCCCAGCCCAGCAAGCCAUCCGGCCGAUGCCACCCGCGUCAGCAGCUUUAGGACCACCUGCCAGCCUCUCUCCUCCUCCCUGUUCGACUGACGCGCGGACCCCAUCGCCUCCUUCUUCCUUCCUGAGUCGGUCUCCCUCUGCAGCACGACAGCGCCGCCACGGCCGAAACAACCACACACAGAUCGCGUGAUCCCUAACCCUCUCGAUUGAAACCGUGGACACAGAUCAACUCCUCUAGAUCCUGUCCUUCAAUUCCCCUCCUUGCCUCGCGGGACCGAGCUUGCAAUCGAGCGCAGCGACCCCGGUGAGCUCCGCCCGCUUGAGCAGCGCCGACGAGAAAUUCUGCCGCCUCGAAUACCUCUGUUUCGAACGCCUCCCCUCCUCCCGAAGCUCAUGGCGACCAUCCCAAAUCCAGCCGCAUGCCCUCGUCACUACAAGACACACGGGAGCACUCCAUAGAGUCCUUUGAGUUCACCAUGGUGAUACGCGUCCUUCAGUGUGAUUCCUGAGCCUCAUGGACCACUGGAGUUAUGCCAUCCUCAACCACAGCCGCACCACCGCCAUGUUCUUCUCCGGCAAAUAUUCUGGUGAGGAAUUCUCCUUGGACCGAAACCCUAAGCUCCGAAAGAACAUCAAUCGUGGAUUGCCACUUAAUCCAACGCUCCUUGUUCAAUCCUGGCCCGAACCGGUAUCGGCGAAUGCCCUGCUACCACGUGUCAUCCUAGUUCGUAUAAUUUUUCCCAGCCGAAAAUGUUCGUGUAUUUUUACAGACCCAUAUGUUCAACCUAUCAUAUCUCUUCAACCUUAGCUCCGAUUGAGGUGAAACUUUUUUCAAAGUGACACUUCUAAAACUACUUUGCCACUGAAUUCAUAAUUUUUAACUUUCAAAUUUUUCAAAUUUGAUUAAUUCAAUUUUGAAUGCAAAGCUUAACUUGAUCA